UACGUAGGGGCGAGCGUUGUCCGAAGUUACUGGGCGUAAAGCGCGCGUAGGCGGUCUCUUAAGUCCGGGGUGAAAGGUUCAGCGCUCAACGCGAACAGUGCCCUGGAGACUGGGGGACUUGAGUGUGGGAGGGGGCAGUGGAAUUCCGGGUGUAGCGGUGAAAUGCGUAGAUAUCCGGAGGAACACCGAUGGCGAAGGCAGCUGCCUGGCCUGACACUGACGCUGAGGCGCGAAAGCUAGGGGAGCGAACGGG
rnacentral:rRNA from 1 species